GUCUGUGAUUAUACUACCUUGAAUGUACCUGAUCUCAUCCCUUCACAGAAGCUGAGUAGGGUCAGGCUGGUUAGCAUUUGGAUGGGAGAAGACUCUUCCCAACAUUAGGAAGAUACACAUU
rnacentral:rRNA from 1 species